rnacentral:rRNA from 1 species
AACGAACGCUGGCGGCGUGGAUAAGACAUGCAAGUCGAACGGGACAGACCGAGUAGCAAUAUUUGGAAUGUUCAGUGGCGAACGGGUGCGUAACACGUGGAUAACAUUCCGGAAAGCGGGGAAUAGCCCAGGUAAACUUGGAUAAAUACCGCAUGUGGCCGCAAGGCUAAAGACGGGGACCGCAAGGCCUGUGCCUUUCCGAUUGGGCCGCGGCCUAUCAGCUAGUUGGCGGGGUAAUGGCCCACCAAGGGUACGACGGGUAGCUGGUCUUAGAGGACGACCAGCCACACUGGAACUGAGACACGGUCCAGACACCUACGGGUGGCAGCAGUCGAGAAUCUUUCACAAUGGGGGCAACCCUGAUGGAGCGACGCCGCGUGGAGGAUAAGGUCUUCGGAUUGUAAACUCCUGUCAUGCGAGAACAAGGUACUCAGGCUAAUAACCUGAUUGUUGGAUGGUACCGCAAGAGGAAGAGACGGCUAACUCUGUGCCAGCCGCCGCAGUAACAC